rnacentral:rRNA from 1 species
UACGGGGGGCGCAAACGUUGCUCGGAAUUAUUGGACGUAAAGCGCACGUAGGCGGUCCUGUAAGUCGGGUGUGAAAGCCCCAGGCUUAACCUGGGAAGUGCACUCGAAACUGUAGGGCUUGAGUAUGGAAGAGGGUCUCGGAAUUCCCGGUGUAGAGGUGAAAUUCGUAGAUAUCGGGAGGAACACCUGUGGCGAAGGCGGAGAUCUGGGCCAAUACUGACGCUGAGGUGCGAAAGCGUGGGGAGCAAACAGG